GAACAGCGCGUCAAACCCGCGUCAAGGCAGGCGAAGCGGCAAACACCGCGUCCUGUCCGGAAGUGCAAAUAAAAGCACUAAAUCAAACCUUACAAAGUUGUUUUAGGUUUUGAUAGAAUUUUUUUUUUUUGUGAAUUCUGAAUGAACGUAGUGAGUUCUGAAUGCUCAAAUUCUUGGUGAGACUUACCUUUAAAGGAGAAAACUUUACAUUAAUUUAUGUAAAAUAUACCAUACAAAGAAAACAUAAUAUAGAAAACAAUAUAGACUAUAAGUAAGACCAGAACUACUCAACACACAGACAUAUAAAUAUAAACACGAUAUAAAUUGCAUGCGUGCACAUAGACUGUAUAAUAAAGAUGGACGUAGCUACCAUGACGUCACCUGUUGGUUUGGAGAAAAUGAAGCCCAGAUUUUGCUACUUCCUGGUUGACAUCUUGGAUCUUUGGAGCCAGAGGCGAAAAAAAUAUUCUCAGAGGGCGGAGCUGGAGUGCAGCGAUUGGUCAAACUGACUGAGCGCCAAGGACUCUGUCCCACCCACAUUUACCGACGCUUCUGCUCACAACGUUAGCCUCCAAAAGUGGAGCUAAACUGUACAGGUAAAAGUUAAAGUCAUCUUUGUAAUUAGUUCUGCUCUUCUCCACAUCUGGACAACAUCACAUAUAAAGCAAUGACCUACGUACGUUACUGUAGCUGAAGUUACUGCAAGUUAACAUCAGACUGUAAUCUCUGAUGUAAACUUGUUCUAACAUCGUGUUUUAAAGUUGUUCUGUAAAUCUCAGGUUAUGUUUCCUGACUUUGUGUUAACGCUGAUGCUAAAUCAGGUUAGUCAGUGUCAUACAUUAGUUAACUGUAAGCUGUAGCUAAGUGUCCUGCAGGUCACAGCUGAUCAAUCAUAACGGAUUGAUAACUGCUGUUUCAACGUGUAGUUCAUUAAUGAUCAGCAGAUAUAAAUUAAUCUAUGUUAAUGUUCCUCCACAGAACUCUGCUAGUGAUGAAAGUUAAUCUCUCAGUUCAGUGAAUGAAGAACAUUUCAGUUCUGCAUUAAUAUCAGACUGUUUUAACAGCUUCUGUUCAUUUCAGUGAGGAAAACAUCUGUUGAAAUGAUUCUUUCAGAAACAGUUACAUUACUGAGGUCUACCCACAAUUAGUGGACCACAGACGGGACUGAUAGUUACUUUCUGCUGCUAUUAAUGUAAAACACAACAAUUUUUUUUUCACUACAACAGUGUAUGGUCAGAUAACUGUGUGGAGCUCAUGCUAAUGCUAAUGAUACAUUAGAAUUUUAAAAAGAGAACUAUUGUCCAUCUAGAGCAGUAAAAUGUUCUUUGGCCUCAACCAGGAAAACAAACACUCCCACAGGAUUAAAAAAAAAAGGACACACUCUCUUGUUUUCCAUUCAUAUCCUAAUGUAUUCACUCUAAUAUUUAUUGUUCCAGCAGUUGGAAUGAAAGAACCUUGGAGGUCUUUUCCUGACUGUUAGUGUCUUUUCCUUCCAGCCUUGGUCUGGAUCAUUUGGAACAUCUGGUCUGAUGUGAACUGAGAGCUCCAGAGAACAUGAACAUCCAGCUGUGGUUGUCUGAAGAGUCUUCUCUCCUUCAUCAUUGUGAGGAAGAGCAGCACUGAUGUCCUCUUCAUCCGUCCAGUAGUAACAAUAAUACUGCACUGCAGAUUCAGCUCCUGUCUUCAUAAUACAACUUGUCUUGUGACUGUUCAGUUUUUACACUUCACUGUCAGCAACACAUUAUUUAUUUCAUCCAUUUAUUACAUGUGUUUACACAUCUUUACAGUUCAGAAUUGUUAAAUAAUGUAGUUUUUAAAUAUGCAAUAAAGGUAAUAAUGAAGCUUCCGCCCUGAAUGUGUUGAUGUUUUAAUGCAACGUAUCUACUAUACUACUAUAAAUAACAUGGACUUUUUAUUUUGUAUUUCUGCUACAACAGCAGAGAUGAAGUUAAAGGUGAUAAAUGGAACCUGUGAAUAUUAAGACCAGAGAAUAAUAAAAAGCUGAAAGAGUUGGUCUGUCCUUCUGUAAAUGAAAGCUAAACAGGAAGUGGUUCACUGAGGAUGUCGUCCACUCAGUCUCCUUCCUCACAACCAGAUGAGGGCCGUUUCUCAAUUCUAAGUACGCAAGUCCAUACUCGUGUACUUGGUGAGAACGGACUUGCGAGUCAGACUCCUAAGUAUGGACUCCCGAGAACACGAGAACGCAUUGAGGCUAAAGUGCAAUUGGAACACCAGCGUACUCGAUGAUGUCACUGCCUCGGUUCAUCUGCUCCGGUUAUUUUUACCAUGAAAAACAAUGAAAUGGAACAGAUAUUAUAACACAGCCCUGCACGUUCAUGGGUCUUUGUUUGGUGUUCAAGAUGUUCUUUUAUAUUGUUGUUCUGGCAGCUUAAAGGUAUUCUCAUAUAUUAUAUCCUGAGUAAUCCAUCCCAGGUUAACUGCUAUGUCCAGUGGGUUAGAAAUAAAAUUUUCAACAUGGAACUGCAGAAAGUUGCAAAAACUUAAGAAAGUAAAAAGUAAUGUGUAGACUAAAAGAUGUACAGUCUAAAUUAAUUUUUCUCGAAGAAACACAUCUGGCAGUGAGUGAGGAGUUAAGGAUCAAAAGGAGGUGGUGUGGGGAUGUGUAUUCAGCACCUUUCAAUACCCAGGUGAGAGGAGGUGGAUGGAGUCACCCAUCCAAAUAAUCAGAAUCAGGUGUUCCAAUCACUUCCAUGGCCACAGGUGUAUAAAAUCAAGCACCUAGGCAUGCAGACUGCUUUUACAAACAUUUGUGAAAGAAUGGCUCGCUCUCAGGAGCUCAGUGAAUUCCAGCGUGGAACUGUGAUAGGAUGCCACCUGUGCAACAAAUCCAGUCCUGACAUUUCCUCGCUCCUAAAUAUUCCACAGUCAACUGUCAGCUGUAUUAUAAGAAAGUGGAAGUGUGUGGGAAUGACAGCAACUCAGCCACCAAGUGGUAGGACACGUAAACUGACGGAGCGGGAUCAGCGGAUGCUGAGGUGCAUAGUGCCAAGAGGUGGCCAACUUUCUGCAGAGUCAAUGGCUACAGUCCUUCAAACAUCAUGUGGCCUUCAGAUUAGCUCAAGAACAGUGCUUCAGCAGAGAGCUUCAUGGAAUGGGUUUCCAUGGCUGAGCAGCUGCAUCCAAGCCACACAUCAAGUGCAAUGCAAAGCAUCGGAUGCAGUGAUGUAAAGCAGCCACCACUGGACUGUAGAGCAGUGGAGACGCCUUCUCUGGAGUGACGAAUCGCGCUUCUCCAUCUGGCAAUCUGAUGGACCAGUCUGGGUUUGGCGGUUGCCAGGAGAACCAUACUUGUCGGACUGCAUUGUGCCAAGUGUAAAGUUUGGUGGAGGGGGGAUUAUGGUGUGGGGUUGUUUUUCAGGGGCUGGGCUUGGCCCCUUAGUUCCAGUGAAAGGAACUCUGAAUGCUUCAGCAUAACAAGACAUUUUGGACAAUUCCAUGCUCCCAACUUUGUGGGAACAGUUUGGAGCUGGUCCCUUCCUCUUCCAACAUGACUGUGCACCAGUGCACAAAGCAAGGUCCAUAAAGACAUGGAUGACAGAGUCUGGUGUGGAUGAACUUGACUGGCCUGCACAGAGUCCUGACCUCAACCUGAUAGAACACCUUUGGGAUGAAUUAGAGCGGAGACUGAGAGCCAGGCCUUCUGGUCCAACAUCAGUGUGUGACAUCACAAAUGCACUUCUGGAAGAAUGGUCAAAAAUUCCCAUAAACACACUCCUAAACCUUGUGGACAGCCUUCCCAGAAGAGUUGAAGCUGUUCUAGCUGCAAAGGGUGGACUGACGUCAUAUUGAACCCUAUGGAUUAGGAAUGGGAUGUCACUUACGUUCAUAUGCGAGUCAAGGCAGGUGAGUGAAUACUUUCGGCAAUAUAGUGUACCUCCAGGAUGUAUAUUGGGCCUGUUUUAGCCAAGAGACUGAUUUAAACUCCCAGUCACUAUCAGACCUACAAGGGACUAAAUGGCGGCCAAUACAAUCAGACUGAUCCUGAGCCAUUGAAGGGGGGCUCAGGAACCUGGAUGACAACUUCAAAGACAUUCCACCCACUGACAAAGGAACUCUGGACUCAAAUCACAAUCAACAAAGACAAUCAUCCCACAAUUCUGGACCCAACUUCUUUUUUUGUACAUCCAUUUCAAAGAACAAAUUAACUUUUCAGUAACAUUAUGGUCAAUCUACAUCUUGCCUUGCCUUUAAUCUUUUAUUUCUCCUGAUUGGGUAUCAACAUGAUAAUUUUAACAUGUCUGUCAUUCACAUGAUCAUAUUUGGUAUCAUUCUGAUCCCCUGUCUGUCAGUAAUACACCCAGGUAAAUCAUGUUCACCAGAUUACAGUAUUUUUGGAGUUAUAGAUAUCACAAAAUGAUCUGCAAAUGUAAUUAUGCGAGAGACAUCUGGACUUUAGCCCUCCUCAACAGAGGUUGGUCCAGAUGCACCUUUUCUUUAAUGAGAUGCAACAAUCUGUUUUAAAAGACCAUGUACACCAUUUCGAGUCCUCCUUUACCCUCCUUUCUAAGAAUUAUCUUUUGCCAUCCAGCUCACCUUUACCACUGAGUUUUCCUGACACUGAGGCUCCACUCUGUCCACCGCUGUUUCGACCCGCUUCCACAGGUUGACUGGACCACCCACGUCAUCUUCAUCGUCACCUCCAUCGCCAUCAUCAUUACAGGCAUGCAAGUACCUUCCAAUCACUGAGUACUUCAUGCACUCUUCUCAAUUCUUCUAAUUCUUGAAACCCAUUAAUUUAGCAAAUUUUCAAAUUGGUGUUACAAAAAUGUACAGCUGCUUUCAGGUGUGAUCUCCUAAUUCCUUCCUCCCUGAGCGCCAUACUACAACGUAAUAUUCUCCCAAUAUUGUGUCAUAAUAUUGUGCUCACUUUCUUCCCCUGUUCGUAUCUUGUGUUGUAUGUGUUGUGUUCUUAGUUGACAGUCGUCACUAAUCAUAGUUAGUUGCGGUUAUCUUGUUUGCUGUUAAUCAAUAAAUGUCUAGUAUCUAAGCCAGUUGACUCAAUUGUUUGUCCACAUUUUGGUCCCUAAUUUGUAUUGAUUCAAGCUACCGAAAUUCUAUGCAUAACCCUAUUGAGCUAAAACAUUCCCCUUGAUCAUUUUAUGAGGCUUUCCUUGUCUGCAGCAAGAGACGUUUCAGGUGCUGCAUUAUUAUAUUUAGCCUAACUUAUAGCGGGAGGUUAAAUGACUUUUGACUUCAAGUCAUGAUACAAAGGUCCCCUUUGCGUCAUGAUUUGAAGUCAAAGGCCUAUUUUUUGGCCUUAACCUCCCUACUAUUAGAUGUUUCACUGGUCGAAUACCAGUUAGACUAUUUAAUAAUUCUGCACAAAGUAAUAUUACCCCCAUUUACCGUACAUUUCAUAAUUUGGUGGAGAAAACGACUUAAACCUUACAAAGAUUAAUUAAGAAAUCCUACAAUGAUGAAUGGACGGAUAGAUGUCACCAUAAUCUAGUAAUUUAAUAAAUGUUUUCGGGAGCAUCUGCACUAGUAUGUGUGAUGGGGUGGGUUCUUACGGACAAAAUGCAUGUUUUAUUCUUUUUAUUUUAUGCUGUUUGUUGUGAUUUUAGUGAGUUUUACUGCAUGGAUUUUUACCUAACUGACCUUGAACGCCUCACAGGCAGGCCGCAAUCAGCAGCAUUAGCAGCAGCUGUGGAGACGGCACCUGUUACACCUUUUAAUCAGCAGGAGAGCAGCCACAGAGAAGAGAGUCGCGAUGAAGCACAGACGCCGGGGACCGACGCCAUGGAGCGGGGAGCCGGCGAACUCAGGAGGAGCGGACUGCCGCGGCCAUAGCUGCACCGGACCCGAGGGAGAAUAGCGGGACGCCGACCGGGCGUCGCAGCAUUAUGGGCUGGAGAAGAGGGGAAGCUACGUGGGAAAGUAGAGGGCUGUGUUCGCGAGGCACCCCUCUUCCAUAAAAUCCCCGUCCAUAGCCUUGGAGGCCACACCGAGGACGAGCCCAGACGGGACGAGGACCGAGCCACUGUGGAUGACUUGGGGCUGUGAUUUUUAAUUCUGUUUUAUUAGAAUAAGCUGGUACUUUUUUUUUUUUUUUUUUUUUUUUUUAAAUUGAGCGUGGAACUAAUUCAAAGAACCUGGAAUUUUUAUGAGUUCUAGGCUCUUUUAAUCCUAGGUGGCGUUGUCGGACUUUUCUACCUUGUUUUAAAUUGUAUUUUAAUUCUCUAAAUCUCGACACAGCCAGCACGUUCACAUAUGCAAACUAUAUUCCUCGAAAUAUGCCACAAACAAGAAAAAAACCUGAUGACAUGUUUCAUUCAAACAAGAGAAUUUCACCAAAAACGUAAGAACUUUGCACGCCUAGUUUGUCUCUGUCAGUCUUUACAAGGGAUUUUGCAUUUUGAUUGCUACUGGUUCAGCAACUUUAUUUUAUUUUACAAAUAAAAGAAGCAGCCUAAAUAAAGUUGCCAAAACUUAACUGCAUUUGUUGGAAAGAGAGAAGCUCUUUCAGAUACAAUCAGAGCCUCAGAGCUGACAGCAGAUGUCUCAUUCCUGCACAACUACAAGGCUGCAGUGGAAAGAGUCCAGCAGCGCCCUCUGCUGGAGGAUCCACAGCUGCACUCAGGAGCUCUGCUAGAGGUGGCCAAACAUCUGGGCAACCUGAGCUUCAACAUCUCCAACAAGAUGGAGAUGGUCUCCUGCACUCCUGUGACUCUAGAUCCAAACACUGCUCAUCCAGGCAUCCUGACUGAAGGUCUGGGCUCCGUUUCACAAAGCAGGUUGAGUGUAACCCUGAACUCUGAGUUUACAAUUCCAGAGCAGCUGAUUUGAGUUGGUUUUAUCAACUUGGAGUAGUUUCAUUUAAAGGGUCAACUCUGACCCUUCAACUCUGAGCUGAAAAUACUUUUUAAAAGAGUAGACUGAAAGAACCAAAGCACUCACAACUCAAAGAAAAUGUAUAUUUUCAGCAUUAAGAUUCACACAUGAUUCAGUGUUACUGCAAUUUGCAGAAGUGGUACAUUGUGUAAAUGACAUAAUGACAGUGCUAGACAGAUGCAAACUAGCCUUUAAAACCAGUGUUACUGUUUACAAUGUCGAACUCUGAUGUUACAAAACCUGCAAAGUAAACAUUUUCACUGAGAAGAUUUAAAAAAA